rnacentral:rRNA from 1 species
AGGACGAACGCUGGCGGCGUGCUUAACACAUGCAAGUCGAGCGGAAAGGCCCUUCGGGGUACUCGAGCGGCGAACGGGUGAGUAACACGUGAGUAACCUGCCCCCUACUUUGGGAUAACCCUCGGAAACGGGGGCUAAUACCGGAUAUGACCGCUGGUGGCAUCACUGGUGGUGGAAAGUUUUUCGGUGGGGGAUGGGCUCGCGGCCUAUCAGCUUGUUGGUGGGGUAAUGGCCUACCAAGGCGACGACGGGUAGCCGGCCUGAGAGGGCGACCGGCCACACUGGGACUGAGACACGGCCCAGACUCCUACGGGAGGCAGCAGUGGGGAAUAUUGCACAAUGGGCGGAAGCCUGAUGCAGCGACGCCGCGUGAGGGAUGAAGGCCUUCGGGUUGUAAACCUCUUUCAGCAGGGACGAAGCGCAAGUGACGGUACCUGCAGAAGAAGCACCGGCCAACUACGUGCCAGCAGCCGC